CUGGUGUUUUUCUUAUCUUUUCCAGAAAGCAAAGAGAUAGGACUUUUCAUCUUUGUGGGUGGUGAUUUUCUUAUCUUUUCCAGAAAGCAAAGAGAUAAGACUAUGUUCUCUAAGUAAGAGCAGCUAAAGAGUAGUAAUAGAGACAUCCAUGUAACAAUUGAUUACUUGAAGCAAACUACUGCAAAAUAAAAAAAUGUACAUCAGGCAUCAAAUGACAACUUGAAUAAACUUCAAUAGAUGUAUCCGAGGACAAGUUUUGGGGUGUCUGACCCUAGAGAUGCUCAAGCUAAUUGCUUGUGGUACUAGUUGUCUAUUGCAGUCACUAGACUUAAUUUUAUGUUCUCUUCCCCUCCUCCUAAAUUGUGUUACUUUUUUUGUUAGAUUUUCAUCCUCUUUUGUGGACUUUAUUUUGGUAUAGCUCAUCUUCACACUAUUAGAAGUACAAAAUGAAAGUUGCAUAGCAAGUUGUAUAAUUGUCAACUGAAAAUACUAACUAACAAGGUUGCAAAUGAUACCAAGAAAGUCAUAAAGCAAUAAAAAAGACAAUGAUUAGGUCAUAAUGACUUUCUAACAUAUAGGUUCAAGUUUCACUUAAUUUGAUGGUAAACCAAAUACUGAACUUAAAACAGAAAGAACAACGAAGAAGAAAAAAGAACAUUAAGAUGGACUAAAUUGAACUAAAUAUAGAAAAAAUUAACUAUAGCAAUAUAAAUAUUAUCUAAUCUAGAUUUUGUUCCCUGAAAUGAGUAACAUAUGAGGCUAAUAAAAUUACAGCCACAAUUCACAAAUACUCUAAAUCAAAAAUCAUGUAACACCCCAUUAUGUAAACAAGCUCAAAAAUCUGACCUAGAAUACUUACUUCUGGAAUUUUUUGAAAGGAAGAAAACUUACCAAGAGCAACUAUUUCGAACUCUGUUAAGAAAAUCUUGAAGAAAGUAUACAGAUGGCUAGCAAACAAUAAACUUCAAACUCGAAUCUGCCACUUCCACAAAAAAAUCAUGAAAAAUGUUGAGAGAUAACCAAAAAUCUAACAAGAAUCUCUUUACGCAUUCAUGACAAAAUAAUCAGCCAACCAGAAUAAAUGAAUGAAUGAAUCCUAGCAACAUAUAAAGUGAGCUAACAAUUUCAUACUACGAGAUGACCCCAAAUGAUGAAAUGGAGGUUUUAAAUUUCCCAAGAUGCAUUUCUUCAAAGCAAAUUUCAACAACCAGAUGCUUAAAUUGAACAACCAGUAGAGUAAUUUCAACGAGGCAAAGUAACGACACAUGAAAGCAUUACACCAACUUCCAAACAUCAAGAAAACUUGAGAGAAGUAGUCUUAUCUUAAAAAAAAUACAGAUAACACUAGCAGAAAACAAAGCAGGCAGCAAACUGGAGAAGCAAGAGCAUUCAAAGUGCUUAACAUAUUAAACAAAUUCCGAACCUGGUAACAGGAAAAAAAUAUAGUAUUUAGAGAAGAUAACACCAUUAUUCAACCCAGCGAAAACAACAUUCGACGAAGAAGAGCAACCAAAACGAGAUGAGGAUGAGGUUGUUACCUGCAACGAACUCUAGAAAUCGAUUUCCAAACCAGCAGACUCAGAAAGCUUCAGCUCCUAACUUUUGGAUAUCUAAAUCUAUAUAUCCUUCUCUGUAUAUUUUCUGCCUCUCCAACGUCUAUAUAUUUUUCCCAGGCAAAGAGGAGGUUUAUAUAGGAGGACUGAAUUGGGAUGAAAUGAUUGAAAGCUGGAAUUGUAACGGGAAAGAGAGGAGAGUCGUCCGAUUCCUUGGUGAAGGACGAAGGAGAUGCAAGAUUGGAAAGUUCAACAACGGUCAUUGUACGGAGAUGGAUUGUCGCGAUUCGGGUCACCUUCUUCGCGUGAAGAAGAAAGGGUUUCUUUGGUAUUAUGGAGUGGGCUGCUCAAUUGUUU
rnacentral:lncRNA from 1 species